rnacentral:lncRNA from 1 species
UGAGCUGGAUGCCCUGCGCCAAUUUGCGCUUAGGGUAUGAAAUGGACAGGUCAUUAUUCCAUGCUUCACGUGUUUCGCACAGUUACGGAAGCGCCCUAUUGUCAUGCCCUACUGUCAGCUUCUUACACCAAUCAGAUUUUUGAGACCAGUAUUACGGAGUGAUAAAUAAGAUGGUAUACAGAUACCCAUUCUACGCUGUUGCAAUUCCUCAGCACAGCGCAUGAUUGACCAUAGAGCUUGACCAAUCGAGCAGUAUAUCUAGAUUGUAAGGUGCAAGAUAGCGAAGACGCUUUAGGAGCCCCGGGCAGGAGACCUGAAGCAAUGAAGGAAGCGUGUCUAUGACAAGUGUGUUUGUAUUACAAAUUGUACGUGCAAAAAAAUCGUUGCACGCAAGGCUCCUCGAUUAUGUAGAAAUGGUUGCAGGGUUUCCUGGAGAGGUGUUCACACGUAGACCUGAUCCUCUUGUAAGGUCCCUGUCGUAUCGUGUCUGUAAACGGUGCCAACGUCAUGUGUCGCCUUUGCUCUGUCGUGUCCGUAACUGGUAAGGAAAGCACAGCAAACUUACCAGUUAUUAAGCACAAAAAAUAUCAAUACAAUGCCGUAAACUUACGCAGCCUCAAGUUUGUCCUGUAAUGGCCAUGGCGGUGCGGCCGUGCACUCUGAACCUGGACGCACUCAGGGCUGCCCUUGGAUGCCUCCUCCUAAGCGUUCAGGCCAGAACAGCUUCCACUGCACUACCGUGUGGUGGAGGUUGGGCGGUUCUGCUUGGCAAAGACUGGGGAUUCGCAACUGCGAUAGCGUUCCACGUAGGCUGGCUGCUAUCCUCUAAUUUUGGUGCAUGGCCAAGCAGGUC